rnacentral:rRNA from 1 species
UACAGAGGUCUCAAGCGUUGUUCGGAUUCAUUGGGCGUAAAGGGUGCGUAGGCGGCGCGGUAAGUCGGGUGUGAAAUCUCGGAGCUUAACUCCGAAACUGCAUUCGAUACUGCCGUGCUUGAGGACUGGAGAGGAGACUGGAAUUUACGGUGUAGCGGUGAAAUGCGCAGAUAUCGGGAGGAACACCGGUGGCGAAGGCGGUUCUCUGGGCCUACCUGACGCUGAGGAGCGAAAGCGUGGGGAGCGAACAGG